rnacentral:tRNA from 4 species
UGGUGUGGCUCAGUCGGUAGAGCAGCUGAUUCGUAAUCAGCAGGUCAGCGGUUCAAGUCCGCUCACC